UUUAUUUUUUUUAUAUUUUUUUAUUUAAAGAGGUGUACCAAGUGACUGACAUUUUUCUGCACAUGUUUGAGGAAAUGGCAGGUGGAGGUUCAACUGUUUCUGAUGAUUUUAUGUUGCAGGAAGAUGUGAAACUCAUGGUGAAAACAGGCCUUGAUGCCUAUAGGUUAUCCAUUUCUUGGUCAAGAUUGAUUCCAAAUGGUAGAGGACCCAUCAAUCCCAAGGGAUUGCAAUUCUAUAACAGCAGUAGGGGUGACUACACAACUGAACCUUACUUGGCAAUUCAUCAUAUUUUGCUGUCACAUUCUUCAGCAGUGAGAUUGUAUAGAAGAAAGUAUAAGGACAAGCAACAUGGGUUUAUUGGCAUUGCUGUCUAUUCAUCUGGUUUAGUUCCUGGAAAUGAUACAGAUGAAGACCGGGCAGCCACUCAAAGAGCCCGUGAUUUUUUUAUUGGUUGUACCCUGUCACACCAUGGACUUUACGUGAAGAGCUGAAUAUCAUGAAGACCCUUUAUGGCAAUCCUCCCAUAUUCAUUUAUGAAAAUGGUCAACGGAUACAAAGGAAUUCAUCACUUCAAGAUGUGACAAGGGUAGAAUACUUGCAUGGAUAUAUUAGUGUUGUGCUUGAUUCCAUAAGGUAAUGUAGUUGCUAGUUUCAUCCACCUUUAGUU